CUAGGGGGGCAGCAGUGGGGAAUAUUGCACAAUGGGGGAAACCCUGAUGCAGCAACGCCGCGUGGAGGAUGAAGGUCUUCGGAUUGUAAACUCCUGUCUUUUGGGACGAAUAAAUGACGGUACCAAAGGAGGAAGCCACGGCUAACUACGUGCCAGCAGCCGCGGUAAUACGUAGGUGGCAAGCGUUGUCCGGAAUUAUUGGGCGUAAAGGGCGCGUAGGCGGCUUUUUAAGUCAGAUGUGAAAUCCCCAGGCUUAACCUGGGAAUAGCAUCUGAUACUGGGAAGCUAGAGUGCAGGAGAGGUAAGUGGAAUUCCUAGUGUAGCGGUGAAAUGCGUAGAUAUUAGGAGGAACACCAGUGGCGAAGGCGACUUACUGGACUGUAACUGACGCUGAGGCGCGAAAGCGUGGGGAGCAAACAGGAUUAGAUACCCUGGUAGUCCACGCUGUAAACGAUGGAUACUAGGUGUGGGAGGUAUCGACCCCUUCCGUGCCGCAGCUAACGCAAUAAGUAUCCCGCCUGGGGAGUACGGCCGCAAGGUUGAAACUCAAGGGAAUUGACGGGGGCCCGCACAAGCAGCGGAGCAUGUGGUUUAAUUCGAAGCAACGCGAAGAACCUUACCAGGACUUGACAUCCUCUGCAUUACUCGUAACUGAGGAAAUCCUUCGGGACAGAGAGACAG
rnacentral:rRNA from 1 species